CCUGGCUUAGGACGAACGCUGGCGGCGUGCCUAAUACAUGCAAGUCGAACGGUCUUUUCUAUGGAAGCUUGCUUCCACUGAGAAGAUAGUGGCGAACGGGUGAGUAACACGUGGGUAACCUGCCCAUAAGAGGGGGGAUAACAUCCGGAAACGGGUGCUAAUACCGCAUAGUUUUCUUGAUCGCAUGAUUGAGAAAGGAAAGACGGCCUUUGUGCUGUCGCUUAUGGAUGGACCCGCGGCGUAUUAGUUAGUUGGUGAGGUAACGGCUCACCAAGACGAUGAUACGUAGCCGACCUGAGAGGGUGAUCGGCCACAUUGGGACUGAGACACGGCCCAAACUCCUACGGGAGGCAGCAGUAGGGAAUCUUCCGCAAUGGACGAAAGUCUGACGGAGCAACGCCGCGUGAGUGAAGAAAGGUUUUCGGAUCGUAAAACUCUGUUGUCAGAGAAGAACAAGUUGGAGAGUAACUGCUCCAGCCUUGACGGUAUCUGACCAGAAAGCCACGGCUAACUACGUGCCAGCCGCCGC
rnacentral:rRNA from 1 species